rnacentral:tRNA from 1 species
AAAGUUUUAGGUCAUUCUUUUAUAAUCAUAAUUUUUAAUAAUAAAUCAAUUAGAUAUUCUAUUUAUUUAACUUUUA